rnacentral:rRNA from 1 species
UCGAGCGAGGGCUCUGGGUCCACCUCCCACCCGUGUUUAUUUUACCUUGUUGCUUCGGCGGGCCCGCCUUAACUGGCCGCCGGGGGGCUUACGCCCCCGGGCCCGCGCCCGCCGAAGACACCCUCGAACUCUGUCUGAAGAUUGUAGUCUGAGUGAAAAUAUAAAUUAUUUAAAACUUUCAACAACGGAUCUCUUGGUUCCGGCAUCGAUGAAGAACGCAGCGAAAUGCGAUACGUAAUGUGAAUUGCAAAUUCAGUGAAUCAUCGAGUCUUUGAACGCACAUUGCGCCCCCUGGUAUUCCGGGGGGCAUGCCUGUCCGAGCGUCAUUGCUGCCCUCAAGCACGGCUUGUGUGUUGGGCCCCGUCCUCCGAUCCCGGGGGACGGGCCCGAAAGGCAGCGGCGGCACCGCGUCCGGUCCUCGAGCGUAUGGGGCUUUGUCACCCGCUCUGUAGGCCCGGCCGGCGCUUGCCGAUCAACCCAAAUUUUUAUCCAGGUUGACCUCGGAUCAGGUAGGGAUACCCGCUGAACUUAAGCAUAUCA